rnacentral:lncRNA from 1 species
GUCUUAGGAUUUUACUGCUGUGAACAGACACCAUGAUCAAGGCAACUCUUAUAAGGACAUUUAAUUGGGGCUGGCUUACAUGUUCAGAAGUUCAGUCCAUUAUCAACAAGAAUCCUGAAGAUUUCUGAAGUUUCCCAGAAACCAUCAAGAAGGGAGCGAGAGAUGAACUAAUGAACCCCUCUGAGGCUUAUCCCCUCCCUCAACUGGAAGCAGCCCACUUCCCUUUCCCUAUCUAUUCAAGAGCUCUGAGCUCACUUUUAUUUGAGUGAGCUGCCAAGGGUACUGGGAACUUACCCUGGAAGAGUAACAUGGGCUAACUCUCCAGUGCCAUAGAUUCCCAGGAAACUUCACUCCAUCUGCUCCUGAGAAAGAAUAACUGGAAUAUAAUUCAAGACCCAAAAGGACAUGCAAGGAAUGCACUCACUAAGAAGUGGAUAUUAACAAAACAAUAACAACAACAGAAAGAAAGAAAGAAAGAAAGAAAGAAAGAAAGAAAGAAAGGAAGGAAGG